rnacentral:rRNA from 1 species
UACGUAGGAGACGAGCGUUGUCCGGAGUUAUUGGGCGUAAAGGGCGCGCAGGCGGUACGGCACGUCCGUUGUGAAAUCGCUCGGCUCAACUGGGCGGGGUCAGCGGAUACGGUCGUACUUGAGCAAGCUAGGGGGCAAUGGAAUUCCCGGUGUAGUGGUGGAAUGCGUAGAUAUCGGGAGGAACACCAGUGGCGAAGGCGGUUGCCUGGAGCUUUGCUGACGCUGAGGCGCGAAAGCGUGGGGAGCGAACAGG